rnacentral:rRNA from 1 species
GACGAACGCUGGCGGCGUGCUUAACACAUGCAAGUCGAACGGAAAGGCCCUGCUUUUGUGGGGUUCUCGAGUGGCGAACAGGUGAGUAACACGUGAGUAACCUGCCCUUGACUUUGGGAUAACUUCAGGAAACUGGGGCUAAUACCGGAUAGGAGCUCCUGCUGCAUGGUGGUGGUUGGAAAGUUUCGGCGGUUGGGGAUGGACUCGCGGCAUAUCAGCUUGUUGGUGGGGUAGUGGCUUACCAAGGUUUUGACGGGUAGCCGGCCUGAGAGGGUGACCGGCGACAUUGGGACUGAGAGACGGCACAGACUCCUACGGGAGGCAGCAGGGGGGAAUAUUGCAGAAUGGGCGGAAGCCUGAUGCGGCAACGCCGCGUGCGGGAAGACGGCCUUCGGGGUGUAAACCGCUUUCGCCUGUGACGAAGCGUGAGUGACGGUAAUGGGUAAAGAAGCACCGGCUAACUACGUG